rnacentral:rRNA from 1 species
GGAUGCCUACGGGGGGCAGCAGUGGGGAAUAUUGCGCAAUGGGCGAAAGCCUGACGCAGCGACGCCGCGUGAGGGAUGAAGGUCUUCGGAUCGUAAACCUCUGUCAGCAGGGAAGAACGGUCACUGUGCUAAUCAGCAGUGAAUUGACGGUACCUGCAAAGGAAGCACCGGCUAACUCCGUGCCAGCAGCCGCGGUCAUACGUAGGAUCCGAGCAUUAUCCGGAGUGACUGGGUGUAAAGAGUUGCGUAGGUGGCAUAAUAAGUAGCUAGUGAAAUCUGGUGGCUCAACCAUU